rnacentral:rRNA from 1 species
AUGACAGAACACUUUAAUGCUCACAACAAGAGUGGAAUUUACCGCUUCGAGAGAUCACUUUGGUCCCGAUGGUCGACAAUCAACUCGGAUUGUCAAAAGUGGGCGGCCGCGCAAAAGUCGGUGGACAAGAUUAACCCAAGUGGCACAAAUGAGGAUGAUCGAUACAACAUUGCACAAAACUUGUUCAACCAAGAGACAAGGACAACCAAGAAGGGGAAGAUCAAGAAAGGCAGGAUCUUUACCUUGCCUCAUUGCUAUGAAGUGUUAAAGGAUGAUGAGAAAUGGAAGAAGCGUGAUGAUUUGGAGGAUUUGCAUUUGAGCAACAAACGAAAGCGAGCAAUUGAGAUGAAUGAUGAUGAUGAGGAGGAUGAUGCAUCAAGUGAUGACGGCAAGAGAAGCCCCACACCCAACUCGGUUUCAUACUCGAAGCCAAAACGACCGGAUGGGUGCAAAAAAGACAAAACCGAAAAGAAGAAGAAGAAAGGAGAUGAUGAGCUCAAAAAUGUUAUGGAAGCUAUUGUGAAGGCAAGGGUCGAAGCGAAUGAGGUGAGGAAAAUGGCAAGGAACCAAGAUGCCGUGGCCGAGGAGAGGAGGUUGGCGGCCGAGGAGAGAAGAGUGGCGGUCGAGGAGAGAAAGGUGACUUUGGAGGAGAGGAAGGUGAGCAACGAGGAGCGAGCUAAGUUGUUGGAAUGGGAGAAGCACUUGUUCUUCAUGGACACAUAUAACCUCAAUGCGGCGCAAAAGGAGUAUGUCAAUCUUGCCCAACAAGAAGUCUUGAUCCGAAAAAGAGCCUUGGUUCGUGCAAUGGGUGGCGAUGGCCUCGGCGCCAUGGGAGGCAUGGGUGGCUUCGGCGCCAUGGGAGGCGGUGGCCUCGGCGCCAUGGGAGGCAUUGGUGGCCUUGGAGGCAUGGGAGACAUGGGUGCACCUCCGGCCACCAUGGGAGGCAUGAGUGGCUUUGGAGCACCCUCCGACGCUAUGGCCGCCAUGGGAGGCAUGGGUGCACCUCCGGCCGCCAUGGGAGGCAUGGGUGGCUUUGGAGCACCCUCCGAUGCUAUGGCCGCCAUGGGAGGCAUGAGUUUUGCUUCUCUCAUGGGAGGCAUGGGUGCACCUCCGGCCGCCAUGGGUGCACCUCCGGUCGCCAUGGCUUUUCACACACAUUCCCAUGAAGAUGCCGUUGAAGAUCUUGCCAACACCGUCGGAGCUUCACAUGAUGCGGUGCGUGAUGCGGUGCGUGAUGAGGAUAGGGAGGAAGGUUCAUCUUCGGAGGCGGAAGAGUCGUCUUCGGAAGAUGAGGACGAAGACGAAGAAGAAGAAGAUGAAGAUGAAGCUUGA